GAUAGCUCAGUUGGUAGAGCAUAAGACUCUUCAUCUCAGGGUUGUGGGUUUGAGCGUCAAGAAAGAUUCCUGCAUUGCA